rnacentral:rRNA from 1 species
AUACGUAGGUGGCGAGCGUUGUCCGGAAUUACUGGGCGUAAAGGGUGCGUAGGCGGGAUCUUAAGUCAGAUGUGAAAUUCCGGAGCUUAACUUCGGAACUGCAUUUGAAACUGGGAUUCUGGAGUGCAGGAGAGGAAAGCGGAAUUCCUAGUGUAGCGGUGAAAUGCGUAGAUAUUAGGAAGAACACCAGUGGCGAAGGCGGCUUUCUGGACUGUAACUGACGCUGAUGCACGAAAGCGUGAGGAGCAAACAGGAUUAGAUACCCUGGUAGUCCACGCUGUAAACGAUGAGUGCUAGGUGUAGGGGGUGUCAUGCCUUCUGUGCCGGAGCAAACGCAAUAAGCACUCCGCCUGGGGAGUACGGUCGCAAGACUAA